UCCCUCUUAGCUCAGUGGUAGAGCGCGUCACUAGUAUCCUAGAGUUCAUUUCCUUCAAUGACGAGGUCAGUCGUUCAAGUCGGCUAGAGGGAA